rnacentral:misc_RNA from 1 species
AAGAUCAGUGCCUUGGACAGGGAGUCUAGUUGUAUGACAUCGAUGGAUGGUUCUUCAGGAGAUUCUUCACUUUCUUCUGGAUUCUCGAUGAUCGGUUUGGUGAAGACAUCUGUGAUUUUCUAGACAACUUUCAUUUUCUCGACUUAUUGGUCAAACCUUUGAUCCCGGAGCAUAUUCCUCAUCCAGAGUCUCACCCACCAAGAGAAG